AAAUUGAAGAGUUUGAUCAUGGCUCAGAUUGAACGCUGGCGGCAGGCCUAACACAUGCAAGUCGAACGGUAACAGAAAGAAGCUUGCUUCUUUGCUGACGAGUGGCGGACGGGUGAGUAAUGUCUGGGAAACUGCCUGAUGGAGGGGGAUAACUACUGGAAACGGUAGCUAAUACCGCAUAACGUCGCAAGACCAAAGAGGGGGACCUUCGGGCCUCUUGCCAUCGGAUGUGCCCAGAUGGGAUUAGCUAGUAGGUGGG
rnacentral:rRNA from 1 species